rnacentral:rRNA from 1 species
GACGAACCGUGCGAACGUUAUUCGGAUUCACUGGGCUUAAAGGGCGCGUAGACGGACGACCGCGUCGAUGGCUGAAAGCCCCCGGCUCAACCGGGGAAUGGGCCUCGAUACGGGUCGUCUCGAGUGGAGGAGGGGGACCUGGAACUUCCGGUGGAGCGGUGAAAUGCGCAGAUAUCAGGAGGAACACCGGUGGCGAAGGCGGGUCUCUGGGCCGAUACUGACGCUGAGGAGCGAAAGCGUGGGGAGCGAACAGG